AUAAAAUUUUAUAUUAUAUUGUGCCGUAAUUUUAAAUAGAGGCAAUUGCUUAUAUACUCCUGAAAAAUAUCCGACUUUUCGAUUUACCCCUCUUAGAAGGCUAAUAUUGAAAGUACAUUUUCUAUGUUCCAACCUAUUUCUAAUAUAUCCUUAGAGUUAAAAUCUGUUAAUGAACUCUAUUAUCUUUGUAAAAUUACUAUUUUGCCCUUUAAAAUAUACCCUUCCAUUAUCACUGACUUUUUUAUUUGCCCUUAAAGUCAGGGGUACAAAAAGUAUUUUGACUUUUGGUCUUUUCCAAUAUACCCCUCUACCGUCACCAACAUUUCUUAUUUGCCCUUAAGUUAAGGACAAAAUUGACAUUUUAAUUUUUUUAAACUGUGGUAGAUGUUUAACUCACGUUUAACCCAGGUUAACUUAACAGGAGAUAACUGCGAGGGUAUUUUAUAAUAACGGUGGAACAUAUGAGGGGUAUUUUAGAAAGAAAAGAAAAAGGGAUAAAUCAGAUAUUUUCAAAUGUAUGAAAGGUAUAUAGGCAAUUAUCUUUUUUAAAUAGUAUGACUUUGUUAUUCUAAUAAGAGACUGUACUGCAGUUGUAACUGCAUGCAAAUACAAAUUCAGUGUUUGGUUUGAUAUAUUUAACUCCAACUGCUGCAAUAGAAAUUGCAACAGUUGGAACCGUAUCUAAAUUGGCUGCAGUUUUAACUGCAGCAAUUAAAGAAAGUAGCUUUAAAUAAAAAGUACGCUCACCUCCUUAAUUACUUUUCAAACAAUUUUUUUUCUUUUUUUUUUUAUAUUGGAGGUAAUCUCACCAUCAUAUAUAUAAAAUAAUAAAUUUUUUUUAAAAAUUAUUUCUCAACUGCAUGCAACCAAACAAAUUAUUUAUGAUUAUAGCGCUUUAUACUACAUCCAACCAUAACUAUUGCUAUAUCUUUAACUUUAUUUAUCUUCAACUAUACUACAUUUAUAAUUACAUCUAACCAAACAACCCUUUAGUGUAUGUCCGUAGAGAAAAAUAAAAAUAAAAUUUAA
rnacentral:lncRNA from 1 species